UGGGAUGGGUGUUUAUUUAUAAGAUCGCGUCCGCAAGGGUUUUGCUGUCCGUUUCAUUUUUUUUAAAAUGAAUUUUAUGUUAUUUCAUUACCGCUCGCAAGUUGCGGAGGAUCACUAGAUCUUUGGGCCUUUAUCGCCACCUUUUGGCUUGCUAUUCUGUCUAUCUGUCAGUCGAAUCAUGAAGGAGUAUAUUCUUUUUGCUUCAAUUCACAGGAGGUCCGAAAUUUCACACUGAUGCUUUUUGAAAAGUACAAGAAUAAAUUUCCAAUUUUAUGUUUCAAUUUGGGGCUGUUUUCUGUCCUCCUGCUGAAGUUUUCCUUUUUCAGUUGAUGCUCUCCGUUCCUGGUUUCUACUCCUUAUUUUUUAUUUCUCUACUGUCAUUGUCCAUGUUCUUUUUGUUGUGAAGGAGACCUUUUGGGAUUGAUCCUAUCAACUGCUUGUUACUACUAGCCCCUAAGAAUC
rnacentral:sRNA from 1 species